rnacentral:lncRNA from 1 species
ACAUCUCUGUUUUUAUUUCAAACUACUGUAUGACUUCACUGAGAUGUGACCUUGGCUUGAUCCAUAUAUUGCAGGAAAUAAUACAGAUAAUACAGAUCCUUACACCAUUCAGUAUUUUAUACAGGCAGAAUUCAUCAAUCCACUACACACAUUAUGAGUGAUAUGCUGAUUUAAUCAUACAUUAUGAUAUGCUGAUUUAAUGAUGGAACAUGACUCAUUCUUUACAUUAAUCAAUAAUAGGAUUUAUUCACAUCAAUUAAUCAUAGGACUGAUUCAUAUGCAAUGGACAGCAGUAUCAGCCUCUUCUCUGUAAAUUAAUGCAUCAAAGAUCUGAUCAAAAUUAGGAUUGUAUGGCCAGGCCAGGGAUAAGCUGUGUAAUAUUUUGACAUGUUGAAAGCAUAUUAAAGUUUAUUAUAUAAGCAGGGGUCAGCUAACUUUAUUGGAAUUAGUAUGCUAGCUACAUGACCUGACGGAACCACUCGCUGGUGCUCCCUUGUCAGGAAUAAAGCUGCUUUUCUUUCCAUCAUGAUUCAGCAGGACGACUCCCGUAUGGUCAUGGACAGGGUGCAGGUGGAUAUCCCUAUGGAGGAGGCUAUGGAACUCCAUACGGAGCAGGAGCUGGACAACUUCCUGGAGCCAAGCCCCUGAAACCUCCAGUUGUGGGAGGAGCAGGCGGUGUGGCUGGAGGAGCAGGUAUUCCUCUUACUGGAGCCGGUGGUGGUGUAGGUGCGAGGUAUCCUGCUGGUGUUGGUCUGGGAACAGGGGCAGGAGCAGGUCAAAAAGCACCCAAACCCCCAGGUUAUGGUAACCUGGGUGCUGGUGGUGCUGGUUAUAAUCCAGGUGCUGGUGCGGUCCCAAAUUACGGAGGUGGCUACCCACAACAACGGGGCUACCCACAGCAAGGUGGCGGCUACCCACAGCAAGCCUACCCGGGUAACGUGUAUAACCGCUAUAUGUGA